rnacentral:rRNA from 1 species
GUAGGUGGCAAGCGUUGUCCGGAAUUAUUGGGCGUAAAGCGCGCGCAGGCGGUUCUUUAAGUCUGAUGUGAAAGCCCACGGCUCAACCGUGGAGGGUCAUUGGAAACUGGAGAACUUGAGUACAGAAGAGGAAAGCGGAAUUCCACGUGUAGCGGUGAAAUGCGUAGAGAUGUGGAGGAACACCAGUGGCGAAGGCGGCUUUCUGGUCUGUAACUGACGCUGAGGCGCGAAAGCGUGGGGAGCAAACAGGAUUAGAUACCCUGGUAGUCCACGCCGUAAACGAUGAGUGCUAAGUGUUAGGGGGGUUUUCCGCCCCCCUUAGUGCUGCAGCUAACGCAUUAAGCACUCCGCCUGGGAGUACAGCCGCAAGGCUG